rnacentral:lncRNA from 1 species
GCGGAUCCAAUGAAUGAUAAAAAAAUGAUCAAACGAGUUAAUAUAUCGAGAUCUAAAGUAGUAAAUGUGAUAUAUAAAUACAUGUUAUUACAGGUAUGUAAUAAGUUAAAUACUAUAUGAUAACAAGGUAAGUUGGCUAUUUGAUUUGUGAUAUAAAUUAUAUAUGAUGCAAAUGAAAGUAUACGUGUGUAUGAAAGUUUAUAUUCGGCCAAAUGGUAAGUAUGUGUGAUAUUG